GGGGACGUAGCUCAAUCUGUGGAUAACACCGAUUAAGGAGAGUACACCGCUGAAGCCGGUGUUGUUAUGGGUUCAAAUCCCAUCGUCCCCA
rnacentral:tRNA from 1 species